UCCGAGUUGACCCCGGCAGUCUCCUACGAGUCCCCGGCAUAAUCCGCUGGCAACAUAGGACAAGGGUUGCGCUCGUUGCGGGACUUAACCCAACAUCUCACGACACGAGCGGACGACAACCAUGCACCACCUGUCACCUUGCCCCCGAAGGGGACGCCCCAUCUCUGGGGUUGGCAAGGGAUGUCAAGACCUGGUAAGGUUCUUCGCGUUGCUUCGAAUUAAACCACAUACUCCACCGCUUGUGCGGGCCCCCGUCAAUUCCUUUGAGUUUCAGUCUUGCGACCGUACUCCCCAGGUGGAAUACUUAACGCUUUCGCUUAGACGCGUACUGUGUAUCGCACACAUCGAGUAUUCAACGUUUACAGCGUGGACUAC
rnacentral:misc_RNA from 1 species